rnacentral:rRNA from 1 species
GGGGAACUGAAACAUCUCAGUACCCGCAGGAAAGGAAAUCAACCGAUACUCCGUCAGUAGCGGCGAGCGAACGCGGACCAGCCGAGCCCUGAGAGGUAGCAGAACCAGUUGGGAAACUGGGCGACAUGGGUGAUAGCCCCGUAUGCGAAAACUCGAUGGGCCACAUUAAGUAGGGCGGGACACGUGAAAUCCUGUCUGAAGAUCGGGGG